AGAGUUUGAUCCUGGCUCAGGAUGAACGCUAGCGGCAGGCUUAACACAUGCAAGUCGAAGGGCAACGGGGAGAGUGCUUGCACUCUCCGCCGGCGACUGGCGCACGGGUGAGUAACACGUAUGCAACCUGCCCUCCACAGGGGGACAACCUUCCGAAAGGGAGGCUAAUCCCGCGUAUAUCCCUUGGGGGCAUCCUUGGGGGAGGAAAGGAUUACCGGUGGAGGAUGGGCAUGCGGCGCAUUAGGCAGUAGGCGGGGUAACGGCCCACCUAACCGACGAUGCGUAGGGGUUCUGAGAGGAAGGUCCCCCACACUGGUACUGAGACACGGACCAGACUCCUACGGGAGGCAGCAGUGAGGAAUAUUGGUCAAUGGGCGGGAGCCUGAACCAGCCAAGCCGCGUGAAGGAAGAAGGCGCCAAGCGUCGUAAACUUCUUUUGUCGGGGAACAAAGGGCGCCACGUGUGGCGUUGUGAGUGUACCCGAAGAAAAAGCAUCGGCUAACUCCGUGCCAGCAGCCGCGGUAAUACGGAGGAUGCGAGCGUUAUCCGGAUUUAUUGGGUUUAAAGGGUGCGUAGGCGGUCCGGAAAGUCAGCGGUAAAAGCCCGGGGCUCAACCCCGGCGAGCCGUUGAAACUGUCGGACUAGAGACGGCGAGAAGUACGCGGAAUGCGCGGUGUAGCGGUGAAAUGCAUAGAUAUCGCGCAGAACUCCGAUUGCGAAGGCAGCGUACCGGCGCCGGACUGACGCUGAGGCACGAAAGCGUGGGUAUCGAACAGGAUUAGAUACCCUGGUAGUCCACGCAGUAAACGAUGAAUGCCGGCUGUCCGGCCCGGAAAAGGGCUGGGUGGCGAAGCGAAAGCGAUAAGCAUUCCACCUGGGGAGUACGCCGGCAACGGUGAAACUCAAAGGAAUUGACGGGGGCCCGCACAAGCGGAGGAACAUGUGGUUUAAUUCGAUGAUACGCGAGGAACCUUACCCGGGCUCAAACGACACUGGAAUACUUUUGAAAGGAGGUAGCCAGCAAUGGCCAGUGUCGAGGUGCUGCAUGGUUGUCGUCAGCUCGUGCCGUGAGGUGUCGGCUUAAGUGCCAUAACGAGCGCAACCCCUAUCUUCAGUUGCUAACAGGUCAAGCUGAGGACUCUGGAGAGACUGCCGGCGCAAGCUGCGAGGAAGGCGGGGAUGACGUCAAAUCAGCACGGCCCUUACGUCCGGGGCGACACACGUGUUACAAUGGCAGGUACAGCGGGAAGCCACCUGGCGACAGGGAGCGGAACCCGAAAACCUGUCUCAGUUCGGAUUGGAGUCUGCAACUCGACUCCAUGAAGUUGGAUUCGCUAGUAAUCGCGGAUCAGCAUGCCGCGGUGAAUACGUUCCCGGGCCUUGCACUCACCGCCCGUCA
rnacentral:rRNA from 1 species